GAUGAACGCUGGCGGCGUGCUUAACACAUGCAAGUCGAACGAUGAAGCCCGGCUUGCUGGGUGGAUUAGUGGCGAACGGGUGAGUAACACGUGAGUAACCUGCCCUUAACUCUGGGAUAAGCCUGGGAAACUGGGUCUAAUACCGGAUAGGAGCGCCUACCGCAUGGUGGGUGUUGGAAAGAUUUAUCGGUUUUGGAUGGACUCGCGGCCUAUCAGCUUGUUGGUGAGGUAAUGGCUCACCAAGGCGACGACGGGUAGCCGGCCUGAGAGGGUGACCGGCCACACUGGGACUGAGACACGGCCCAGACUCCUACGGGAGGCAGCAGUGGGGAAUAUUGCACAAUGGGCGAAAGCCUGAUGCAGCGACGCCGCGUGAGGGAUGACGGCCUUCGGGUUGUAAACCUCUUUCAGUAGGGAAGAAGCGAAAGUGACGGUACCUGCAGAAGAAGCACCGGCUAACUACGUG
rnacentral:rRNA from 1 species